rnacentral:piRNA from 1 species
UGACCCCCGAUGUCUCUUUUCAAGUUC